rnacentral:lncRNA from 1 species
CUGCAAUGCAGUAGGUUAAUCAGACAUUUUAACAAAAGUAUUCAAGUAACAUUUUUAGUUUAUAAUGCUAGUAGCAUUAUUUACAUGUUUUGAUAUAUGAUUUGUAAUAUAAAUUAGCUUCUCCAGUUUAUAGUGUUUAAUUCUAGCAUUCCAUUUUAUACAUGCAUAUAUACCUCUCUCUCAGAUGUCAACUGGAAGCAAUUUUGACUGUUUUCUACCUAAUGAAGUCAAACUGUUAUUCUGAAUGUUUUUGUUCACCUGAAACUUAUUUUUGAGUAGGUUGAAAGGACCAAGAUACUUGAGUGUUAAAAGGGCUACAAGUGUCCUCUUUAUAUGCGGGAAAUACAUGAUUGUAAAAGUCACAAAAGGGGAAGUACUUUUAUGCUCUGUGGAUUAUCCAAUAUUUAGUUUUUUUAGAUUGUUUUAAAACAGGUUGAGAAGUGGUUUAGUUAAAUUUAGGUGACAAUUUAUUUUCCAACUAAAAUUGAAAAAUACACCUUUUCCUCACUUCCCUCCUUGCAGUUCCUCUCAGGUCCCAAGUUUCCAAGUGAUUUGAACUAAAUAUUACAUUUAUUGAGAAGCUGUUUUUGUUCUUAAUUAUACUGAGCUAAGCACUCCAGAUGGAAAGUCAUUUUGUACUAUGUACAAUACCCAAGAAGAGGUCACAUUGAGUCAGAAGACUGUAAGUACCACUUUUGACGCUCCAGAUAUUAACCUUGUACACACUGUAAUAAAACAAUUAGAAAAUAAUAUGAGCCACCUAUGAUGCAGAUGUACACAUGCUCGUUACUUUUAAGAUUGUGCUGUGUUGAUUGAUCACAAUGAAAUGUUAUAAAUUGAGACAAAAUACAAAGUUACAUUUUUGGACCAUAUUAAAACUGCAAGAAGAUGGGGUCUUACUUAAAGAUCUUUUAGACAACUGUUAAAUCCUGUCACAUGAUAUUUAGACGUGUAGAAUGUAGCUCAAUUUUUGAAAAGUAACUGACCUAGAGGGUUAAUGUUGAAACUGACACAUUUUCAAAUUAAAAUGCUUAUUUUGU